GAUGAACGCUGGCGGCGUGCCUAAUACAUGCAAGUCGAGCGAACAGACGAGGAGCUUGCUCCUCUGACGUUAGCGGCGGACGGGUGAGUAAAACGUGGAUAACCUACCUAUAAGACUGGGAUAACUUCGGGAAACCGGAGCUAAUACCGGAUAAUAUAUUGAACCGCAUGGUUCAAUAGUGAAAGACGGUUUUGCUGUCACUUAUAGAUGGAUCCGCGCCGCAUUAGCUAGUUGGUAAGGUAACGGCUUACCAAGGCAACGAUGCGUAGCCGACCUGAGAGGGUGAGCUGCCACACUGGAACUGAGACACGGUCCAGACUCCUACGGGAGGCAGCAGUAGGGAAUCUUCCGCAAUGGGCGAAAGCUUGACGGAGCAACGCCGCGUGAGUGAUGAAGGUCUUCGGAUCGUAAAACUCUGUUAUUAGGGAAGAACAAAUGUGUAAGUAACUAUGCACGUCUUGACGGUACCUGAUCAGAAAGCCACGGCUAACUACGUG
rnacentral:rRNA from 1 species